AAUACCAAUAUAGGACCCAACGGGUACUAUGUUUGGAAUGAGUACAAUUAAAAACCUUAACGAGGAACAAUUGGAGGGCAAGUCUGGUGCCAGCAGCCGCGGUAAUUCCAGCUCCAAUAGUGUAUAUUAAAGUUGCUGCGGUUAAAAAGCUCGUAGUUGGAUUUCGGAGUUGUUAUCUGAACCUUCUCGCCCUAAAAAGUGGGGGGGCUAAGGUAGCAGUAGUUUUCAUCAUAGUCCAUCAGGAUACUCUCUUGAUGUGUACUGGGUGUUAACCUCCUUUUUUUCUGGUACUUGCUAUCCAGCAAUGGGUAGUUUUGUCCAGAUAGUUUACUUUGAAAAAAUUAGAGUGUUCAAAGCAGGCAUAAUUGGCAUCAUGAAUACAUUAGCAUGGGAUAAUAGAAUAUGACAUUGGUCUUAUUUUGUUGGUUUCUAAGGCCAAAGUAAUGAUUGAUAGGGAUAGUUGGGGCC
rnacentral:rRNA from 1 species